ensembl:snoRNA SNORA73 Small nucleolar RNA SNORA73 family
CCGACGUGGGCACCCGGGUAAGCUGCUCUCUCCUGGCUCGGCCCGCGUGGCGCACGGGGGCGCAGGGCUCCGGGCUCCGUGACGCGCGGCCCCCUGCCACCGCGUUGGAGAACGAGCCGGGCCUCUGGUCUGCAGCCUGCAGAGUCCCGCUGCGUCUCUGAGUCCCCGGGCUGGGGCCAGGAGACAAACCGCGCGGGAGACACUG